rnacentral:rRNA from 1 species
ACGGAAGGCAGCAGUGAGGAAUAUUGGUCAAUGGGCGGAAGCCUGAACCAGCCAAGUCGCGUGAAGGAUGAAGGUUCUAUGGAUUGUAAACUUCUUUUGUUCGAGGGUAAAGUGUCUUACGUGUAGGUUAUUGCACGUAUCGAACGAAUAAGCAUCGGCUAACUCCGUGCCAGCAGCCGCGGUAAUACGGAGGAUGCGAGCGUUAUCCGGAUUUAUUGGGUUUAAAGGGUGCGUAGGCGGGAUGUUAAGUCAGCGGUUAAAUAGUGUAGCUCAACUAUACUUUGCCGUUGAAACUGGCGUUCUUGAGUGUAAACGAGGUAGGCGGAAUGUGACGUGUAGCGGUGAAAUGCUUAGAUAUGUCACAGAACCCCGAUUGCGAAGGCAGCUUACUAGGAUACAACUGACGCUGAGGCACGAAAGCGUGGGUAUCAAACAGGAUUAGAUACCCUGGUA